rnacentral:rRNA from 1 species
GACGUAGGGCGCGAGCGUUGUCCGGAUUUAUUGGGCGUAAAGAGCUCGUAGGCGGCUUGUCGCGUCGACUGUGAAAUCCCGCGGCUCAACUGCGGGUCUGCAGUCGAUACGGGCAGGCUAGAGUUCGGUAGGGGAGACUGGAAUUCCUGGUGUAGCGGUGAAAUGCGCAGAUAUCAGGAGGAACACCGGUGGCGAAGGCGGGUCUCUGGGCCGGUACUGACGCUGGAGGUGCGAAAGCGUGGGUAGCAAACAGG